rnacentral:rRNA from 1 species
UACGUAGGGUGCAAGCGUUGUUCGGAAUUACUGGGCGUAAAGGGCGCGUAGGCGGUUCGUCAAGUCCUGUGUGAAAUCCCCCGGCUCAACUGGGGAACUGCACAGGAAACUAGCGGGCUUGAGUUCGGGAGAGGGAAGCGGAAUUCCGGGUGUAGCGGUGAAAUGCGUAGAUAUCCGGAGGAACACCGGUGGCGAAGGCGGCUUCCUGGACCGACACUGACGCUGAGGCGCGAAAGCUAGGGGAGCAAACGGG